rnacentral:rRNA from 1 species
UGUAGUCAUAUGCUUGUCUCAAAGAUUAAGCCAUGCAUGUCUAAGUAUAAACUGCUUAUACUGUGAAACUGCGAAUGGCUCAUUAAAUCAGUUAUAGUUUAUUUGGUGGUACCUUACUACUCGGAUAACCGUAGUAAUUCUAGAGCUAAUACGUGCGUAAAUCCCGACUCCUGGAAGGGACGUAUAUAUUAGAUAAAAGGCCGACCGGACUUUGUCCGACCCGCGGUGAAUCAUGAUAUCUUCACGAAGCGCAUGGCCUUGCGCCGGCGCUGUUCCAUUCAAAUUUCUGCCCUAUCAACUUUCGAUGGUAGGAUAGGGGCCUACCAUGGUGGUAACGGGUGACGGAGGAUUAGGGUUCGAUUCCGGAGAGGGAGCCUGAGAAACGGCUACCACAUCCAAGGAAGGCAGCAGGCGCGCAAUUACCCAAUCCUGAUACGGGGAGGUAGUGACAAUAAAUAACAAUACCGGGCAUUUCAUGUCUGGUAAUUGGAAUGAGUACAAUCUAAAUCCCUUAAUGAGGAUCCAUUGGAGGGCAAGUCUGGUAAUCGAAUCCCGCGGCCGCCA